rnacentral:lncRNA from 1 species
AAGACUUCUUUCCUUAGCCUUGUCAACAGUGUAUACUGUCUGUAUUUUUAUCCAGGAUCAACUGAUAAUUUAAAAAUUAUAACAUGUUUGAAUUUGCAUUUUUUGAUAUUAGAGAGAUUCUGUGUUUUGUUUUGUUUUUGCCACAUGUGAACUGGCCAUUUAUAUUUAUUCUUUUGGGAAUUACCUAUUCAUGUCCUAGACCGUUUUUCAUUUGGUUGUUCAUCUUUUUCUUAUUGAUUUAUAAGUUGUUUUUUUUUUUUGGAGACAGAGUGUUACUCUGUCACCCAGGCUAGAGUGCAGUGGCACAACCUCGGCUCACUGCCACCUCUGCCUCCCGGGUUCAAGCAAUUCUCCUGCCUCAGCCUCCCGAGUAGCUGGGAUUACAGGUGCAUGCCACCACACCCAGCUAAUUUUUGUAUUUUUAGUAGAGACGGGGUUUCACCAUCUUGGCCAGGCUGGUCUCAAACUCCUGACCUCAGGCGAUCUGCCCGCCUCAGCCUCCCAAAGUGCUGGGAUUAUAGGCAUGAGCCACCAUGCCCAGCCAGGAAAACACAAUUUUAAUUAUUAUGUUUAACUCUGUGAGUAUGCUCUUCUGCCCAAAAAUAAUGGUGGUGACCAGGAAUGGACACCUGCCUCAGACUGGGCCAGUCACAUUCUCUACUGAAAAUCUGAAAUUCCAACAAAAGGCAACGAGUUAGUUGCUACCAAUAUUUAGCAACUACAAUGAAUGAUUCGUGUCUAUGUAAUUAAAUUUUUUAAGUGAGUAAAUUUAGGGGCUGGUAAAACCCAGGAAGUAUGCAGUACGUCUAUUCUUACAUUGGAUUAAAAAGCAACAAAAGUGCAAAAUGGUAAAUACUCAUUACCUCUCUCAGCCCAUCCCCAGGCCUCUCCUCCUAUGCCUUCCCAUGAGUCAGUCAUUAGAGGGUUAAUGUUUGGCACAAUGGUGACUGUACCCAUCAGCUCAUCUGCCUCAGUUCUGAUUAACUGGUAAUUGUGCUACUCCAGUUUUUCAACAUUUUGAAUAUUACCCCCGCCUGCUUCCAAAUAGUACUAGAAAGUCUUGCUUCACCCUCCUCUGUUGUGGAAUGAUGCAUGCCAGGAUGAGCUCAGGUUAAGACACUAAUUAGAUCUGAGAUUCAACUUUACCAUCCACAGUCACUGAAUCACUUAGAGGUGGGGUUAGUAUUAACCCCAGAGCACUGAAGAGACUUGUGGCUUCACUUAGGCCAUGAGCACACAAUCUUUCACAUCUGUCCUCUCCAGUCUACACUGCACCACCUGGUACCUGGCACAGACUCUUGUCCCAUCUGAGUGCUCCUCGCUCCAGACUUUUCAAUGCAUUUUCCAUUUGGCUCCCAAUUUAACCAUCCUGAGUGCCUCACUGAUUAACCUAGAUGGUGCUGUGGCGGAAGAAGGACUCCAAGAAGACUGGACCUUGUUAUCCAGUACACCUCGGCUUAGAUUCUUGCCUUGCCGCUGCACUAGCUGUGCAGCCUCAGACAAAUUGUGUAAUUGUAAAACCAGGAUUUCCUCUUAUUUAAAUUGGAGAGAUUAUCAUCAUCAUCACAUCAUCCCUUUGGGCCCGGAUCUCCUGUAAUCUGCAUGAAAUUUACUGCAUAUUGUUUAUCUGCUCUGCCAGAGUAAGGAUAUUGUUAUAUUCAUUUUUGCAUCAGUGCCUCACCUGAUUCUUGGUUAACAAUAGGUCUUUGGUAAAUAAAAUUCCCCCCAAGUUGAAUGGAAUCAAGUUCCAAACACUAAAGUAAGUUUCAAAUAUCCAAAUGUUGAAAAUGCAAUUGAUCCAGAUGUUUUCAUAUCAGUGGAUUAUAUGCCGAAUUGAUUUCCUCCUUAGAGGAAAGUCAGUAGCCCUGAAACUUUCUACACAUUCCCAACAAUUUCUGUAAAACUUUCAAUGAUCUUAUUCUCUAUAACUAGAUAUGUGGGCCAAGAAUCCCAACACGUUUGCCCCUUAACUUUGAAGCUGGCAAUAUGAAUUACCAGGGUGACCCCUCCCAGUAGAGCACAUGAUCAGCCACAGCUGUGCAUGUUUUUUAGUAUGACUGCACUAGGAUAGGGCUCCAAGCCACUGGGUGGAGCAAUGUGCUCUGGGGAGAAAGCUCAUGACAUUUCCCCUAUGAUUUCACAAAAGAAAAAAUCUUUUUCUUAUGAGUUGUUUCUGCUCAACGUCAAUAGGAAAGGUCAUAGCUUAGCGUGUUUACAUACAGAUGCAUGCAUGAAUAUGUAGAAUAUCAGCCACUCCUACGGUGUGAGAGAAUUUAAAUUGCACUGGUCCUAAGAGUGAAGGAAAGCAGGCGUAGUUGCCUACUCAACCUCCACUUUAUUCUUUUCCCUUUAUAACAAUCCUAAUUUCAUUUGAGAUGACAAUGUAUACAGCUAGAAGACAAUUUCUCAGCCUCCCUUGGAGAGCUAGGUUCCAGCCAAUGAGAUGUAAACAGAAAUGUAUGCAAUGUUCAAGUAGGCUGCUUAAAAGAAGUUGACUCCACUUGAAAGGUGUGCUUGGUUUGGCCUGCCUUCUCCCUUCCUCUGGUUGAAUGUCAUCUUGAUGACUGGAGCUCCAGGAGCCAUCCUGGAAUUUCUGACCUUGAGGGUGGAAGCCACAGGCUAAUAUGAUAGAAGGAUGAGGAAGAGGCUGAGUACCAGAUGGCUGAGAAGCCACUAUACCAGCCCUAGUUUCGAGUUUACACUGCUUCUGUGAAAGAAAAGUCAAUCACAAUAAAACCUUUUAUCUUGUUUAAACCACCUUAAAAAGUCAGUUUUCUUUUAUAUGCAGCCUACUAAUCCUAUCCAAACAAGGCUUGAAUAAGGUUUACUACAGCUCUUUUUUGUUGUAAUAGCAGAAAAAUUGGUAAUAAAUGCCCAUCAAUAGGAAAAUAAACUAUUAAUUUAACAAUACCAAAUAAAACUGUGCAGCAGUAUAAAGAAUGAAGCGUUUUUUGUUGUUGUUUUUGAGAUGCGGGUCUUGCUUUAUUGCCCAGUCU